UACGUAGGGGGCUAGCGUUAUCCGGAAUUACUGGGCGUAAAGGGUGCGUAGGUGGUUUCUUAAGUCAGAGGUGAAAGGCUACGGCUCAACCGUAGUAAGCCUUUGAAACUGGGAAACUUGAGUGCAGGAGAGGAGAGUGGAAUUCCUAGCGUAGCGGUGAAAUGCGUAGAUAUUAGGAGGAACACCAGUUGCGAAGGCGGCUCUCUGGACUGUAACUGACACUGAGGCACGAAAGCGUGGGGAGCAAACAGG
rnacentral:rRNA from 1 species